GAGAGGGUCAGGAAAAAAGGAGUCUUAUAUAAGACUCUUUUUUCGCCCUUCCUUCGUCACAACCGGAGCUGUUACUAUAGUUACACCCCCACCCCCCCACAGGGAUGGCACAGCUGUGACUAGGAGAGCGUGCGAGCUCACAGACCCUCGUGCAAGGCAUCAGAGUGCUGUAUCUUUCCAUUCACCUUCAUAGCCUGCCACAGGUAAUCGCCACACUGCAGCACCAGCUUUUUGCCAUCGUGUUGGCGUGUCGAGCUGUCUGAAGUCACACAAGCAGCAAGCGGACAAGAAAGGGAGAACACAGCACAAUGUCCUGGAUGUUUGUGGACUGGUUCGUCCCAGUCUAUCUGCUUGUUUCGGUUCUGGUGCUGGCCGGGUUCGGGGCCUGCCUCUACUUCCUGGAGCCUGGUCUUCAGGACGCUCACAAGUGGAGCAACAAGUCCCUAAAGCACCAGCCUCUGGUGCCCACACUGCAUGACCACCGAGAUGAAGACAGCAGUGCGCUUAUAUGACACAAUGUGGAGGAUAAAGGGAUGUCCUCGGCGAUGAGCUGACACGUGCAAGACAAGUUCACCAAUAUUGCCAUGACUGGUCUCUUACAUUGAGAGCUCUCUGAUAGUUUGAAGUUUUCAUCGGUUAACACAUAAGUGGUUGAGAAUGAGUGCAUUUCUAGGAGACACUUCAAGCAAUUUUGGGGGAUAAUCUAAGUAGCACAAGCACUCUUCUGUUAUAGUAUCUUAAAGCUUCUACAGUUGGUGCUCUCAAAGUAUGGGAAUUUUCUUGAAUUUGGUGCAUAAAACCACAUGUAUGAACUGACAGCAGACAGAACAUUCCAUAGAACUAGUAAUAUAGACUGGUCGAAUGUUAUGGAAGUACUUCCAAGUCACUUUGUUAAUUCCCAGUUUGUGUUUAUAGACAAUACUUAAAACUGCAGGAAUGCCAAGUGUUUCCUACUGCAUGUUCUGUGUCACUAUAGUUCAUGUAGUAGACGUUUUUUUUUAAAAGAUAUUAUGUAUUUGUAAUUCGUCAUACAAGGUUUGCACCAUUCUUUUAGUUUGAGUUUCAUGGGUAAGUUCCACAAAGGAAAGAAACAACCAGAAAACAGCUAUUUAGCAACUGGUUGAAUACCAACCAUUUUGUGACCUGUGCCUAAUUUAUAGCAGAUUUUUUGCCCCACAUAUCUUAACAGUUCAAAUUCAUAUAACAACCUAUUAUGUUCAUUGUGGUCACCAAAAGUAUGACUUAUAUCUGAGAAUAGAUAAAUGUGAUUAGGUGAUGAGAUAUUCAUGUUGAGUGCUACAAUGUGCUAUCUAGAUGAAGUUUUACAAAAAUCUUUUUUAGAUAGGAAUGUCAGUCUUUGCAAUAAAUGGCAGAAUAUUUUAGCAGUUGUUGAAUAAAUGUGAGGCAAUGUCAAUGUUUAAUAACAAAAUGUGCUUAAAUCUCUAAUACUGUUAAUAGUCUGUAUGUUUGUAGCCUUCUGUGAAAAUACUAGGCUAUCUCAUGUUUCUUCUUAUUUUAGGGGCCAAUUUGCACAAUGCCUGCUUAUUUGUGUUUUAUUUAUUCUAAAUAUAUCAUUUGGAUAAUAUACAUUUUUACAACUUUCAUUGUAACAUUGUAAUUACAUUAUAUUGUAAUUACAACACUACAUUCCUCUUUUAGUGAUAGAUUUUGUUUCUUUUAAGUGAGUUGCCUGUUUGUUUUCACAAUAAAUGUAAUACAGUAAUAAAAGUGAUCAAUUUUAGGUAA